GCCAGACUCCUACGGGAGGCAGCAGUGGGGAAUUUUGCGCAAUGGGGGAAACCCUGACGCAGCAACGCCGCGUGCGGGACGAAGGCCCUCGGGUCGUAAACCGCUUUCAGCAGGGAAGACCACGACGGUACCUGCAAAGGAAGCACCGGCUAACUCCGUGCCAGCAGCCGCGGUAAUACGGAGGGUGCGAGCGUUAAUCGGAAUUACUGGGCGUAAAGCGCUCGUAGGCGGUAUGUCAAGUCAAGGGUGAAAUCCCCGCGCUCAACGUGGGAACUGCCUUUGAAACUGGCAAACUGGAGUGUGUGAGAGGAUAGUGGAAUUCCAGGUGUAGGAGUGAAAUCCGUAGAUAUCUGGAGGAACAUCAGUGGCGAAGGCGACUAUCUGGCACAUAACUGACGCUGAGGAGCGAAAGCGUGGGUAGCAAACAGGAUUAGAUACCCCAGUA
rnacentral:rRNA from 1 species